AACGAACGCUGGCGGCGUGCCUAACACACGCAAGUCGAACGAGAAAGCGGGCUUCGGCCCGCGAGUAGAGUGGCAGACGGGUGAGUAACACGUGGGUAACCUGCCCGGAGGUGGGGAAUAACCCUCCGAAAGGAGGGCUAAUACCGCAUGAUAUCUCGGGAGUUCGCUUCCGCGAUCAAAGCUAGCCUCUACAUGUAAGCUAGCGCCACCGGAGGGGCCCGCGGCCCAUUAGCUUGUUGGUGAGGUAACGGCUCACCAAGGCCACGAUGGGUAGCCGGCCUGAGAGGGUGAACGGCCACACUGGAACUGGGACACGGUCCAGACUCCUACGGGAGGCAGCAGUGAGGAAUCUUGCGCAAUGGGGGAAACCCUGACGCAGCGACGCCGCGUGGAGGACGAAGGCCUUCGGGUCGUAAACUCCUGUCAAGUGGGACGAAUGCCGCGGGGAUGAAUAAGCUCCGCGGUUGACGGUACCACUGAAGGAAGCCCCGGCUAACUCCGUGCCAGCAGCCGCGGUAAUACGGAGGGGGCCAGCGUUGUUCGGAAUCAUUGGGCGUAAAGGGCGCGUAGGCGGCCCGGCAAGUCAGACGUGAAAUCCCUCGGCUCAACCAAGGAACUGCGUUUGAAACUGC
rnacentral:rRNA from 1 species